rnacentral:lncRNA from 1 species
UUCCACUGGCUGUUAAAGAGACUCCCUGGCACAGAGAAGAUGUGGAAGUGUUGUACUUUCCAUGAGAAGUGCAUGGCCACAGAAGUAGCUGCUGCUGCUCUUCAUCCAGAGUGGAAAGUCCACAUAUUGCUCUGAAGAAACAAUGCACUAAGAAAAGCUAUCACACACUGGUCCCCACCGGAUGGCGCUGGCUCACCAAGUGUUCAUCUUUUCAGUGUUGACAUACCCAGUGUACCAUAGAGCAAACCAGUACAGCUCCC